rnacentral:rRNA from 1 species
AGAGCGAACGCUGGCGGCAGGCCUAACACAUGCAAGUCGAGCGCCGUAGCAAUACGGAGCGGCAGACGGGAGAGUAACACGUGGGAACGUACCUUUCAGUUCGGAACAACCCAGGGAAACUUGGGCUAAUACCGGAUACGCCCUUACGGGGAAAGAUUUAUCGCUGAAAGAUCGGCCCGCGUCUGAUUAGCUAGUUGGUGGGGUAACGGCCCACCAAGGCUACGAUCAGUAGCUGGUCUGAGAGGAUGAUCAGCCUCACUGGGACUGAGACACGGCCCAGACUCCUACGGGAGGCAGCAGUGGGGAAUAUUGGACAAUGGGCGCAAGCCUGAUCCAGCCAUGCCGCGUGGAUGAUGAAGGCCCUAGGGUUGUAAAGUCCUUCGGCGGGAAGAUAAUGACGGUACCCGCAGAAGAAGCCCGGCUAACUUCGUGCCAGCAGCCGC